rnacentral:rRNA from 1 species
AGAACGAACGCUGGCGGCAUGCCUAACACAUGCAAGUCGAACGAGACCUUCGGGUCUAGUGGCGCACGGGUGCGUAACGCGUGGGAAUCUACCCUUGGGUUCGGAAUAACAGUUGGAAACGACUGCUAAUACCGGAUGAUGACGAAAGUCCAAAGAUUUAUCGCCCAGGGAUGAGCCCGCGUAGGAUUAGCUAGUUGGUGAGGUUAAAGGCUCACCGAAGGCUACGAUCCUUAGCUGGUCUGAGAGGAUGAUCACGCCACACGUGGGACUGACGACACCGGG